UCUGUGGCAAGAUGUCCCGGAGAGAACCGAAAGGGAAGAAGGCCUCAGACACGGAAGUCAUUUCGUGGAAGCAGAAGAAAGACCUCGCAGACAUGGAGGAGAUGGCCAUCGGAAAACAACUAGAGGAGCUCAUUGCAUGGACUGCCAUGAUAGAAGCCAUGAGCGAUGAACAACUCAAGGACUACGUUCUUAAUCGGCCGGAAAGCUUACGGAGUGUCAAGACCGGAAAGAACGCCCCAGGGAAGAAGCAGGGGAGAAGGAGUGGGAAAUCCUGUUCUCCCUCUCAGGGGCUUAUGGCCACGGUGUGGAAAUAUCACAAGGAAGACGAUGAUGAAGCAUCUAUAUCAUAGCUAUGUGUAUAUGCAACAGUACACCAUUUAUCCUCUCUACUAUAUUCAUAGUCUCGAAAAAGUUGAUAUCUGUUAAGCUUCUUUCCCUUUUCCUUUUUCCUUUCCAUCUUCUUAUGUGCCCCUCCUUUCAGUGAACCAAUAUAGUCAAUCAUAUGAACCGAGCACGAUUUCGAAAUCCGCACAAUAAGUAUGAGACAGAUUGAAUAGGAACAAACAAAGAAGCGCCAGGAGAAAGAAAUUAGUCAUUGGAUCCAAUACCAAGGUUUGAGUUUGCUUAGUUGUGUGGCUUUGCGUCUGCAAUUUUGACCCCAAAAAUGUCCUAUUCCUCACGGAAAGAAGGAUGCAGCAUAUCCAACAUCAUCUGCUUCAUUGUACUGCAACAAAAAGGAACAAGAUUGAGUCAACUCAACAGCAAAAGAUCUUCCGCAUGAGAACACUGGGGAUGUCUUGAUAACAUAAAAUACAAUUAACAUACCCGUCGUGGCCGCCCGGCAAUAUUUCUUUAAAGCCAUGCAAGAGACUAGACCAACUCCUACGAGUCUAUAACUUUGAAAUCAGAUGUCAUCCCAGUGGAGUGAGAAGCCCAAGAGAAAGAUGCGGCUCUCUUCUUCCAUCCGAUUCCUCUUUCUAAUGGCUGCGGUUGCUGCCUUGCUGUUUACCCAGUUUCAUUCGGCCUAUGGAGGUGCCAAAGCUUGGAGGAAGGAGAGGAUGUUGGGUGGAAGGGUCGGGUGGAGUCCCCCAUCUCCAGCAUCGAAUCCUGUGAAGCAUCAAAUCCCCCCUCAACUGCCUUCACCUCCCGGGAGCAACUGAUGGCUGCCGUAUGCAUGUGAUUUCACGUCAUUAGCAUGCAGUAGUUGAUUGGUCACGUCAAAAUAGAAAGAAGUGGAUGCUGUGAGAUCGAAGGCGUGUUUACCUAAAGAAUUAAUAUUAAUCUCUUUCUGGUGUUGAAGCUGUGGUUGCAGUUGAUGUCAUUAUAGUUCUCUUUAUUUCCUCUUGUGUUAUGUCCAAUACUAUUGAAUUCGACAUGUUUGAUUACCUUGGCUUAGUCUAAACCAUAGUAUGUUUCUUA